AGUAUGAAAAUUUUAUGAUGAUGAAUUGAUGGAGGACAAAAAAGUUUAUUCCUUAGCCCUUUUACUUGUGAUUUUAUUGAUCACACUCAUCGUUAUCACACGUAUAACGUUGAAAUAUUCGGAGACAUUUUUCCUCAUUUUCGGAGCUGAUAUCGCGUUGAUUAUUGGUGUUUUUGCUGGUGUUUUGAUCCGAAGGAAGUUCAACAACAGGAGGUUAUUGCUAGAAAAUCAGUUAGACUCUGAUGGACGCGAGCUGAGGAUCGAGUAUAGUUUCCUAAGGAAAGUAGCUGGUGUUCCAACAAGAUUUAAGCUGAAAGAGCUCGAAGAAGCAACCAAUAACUUUGGAUCGUUGGUAGGACGUGGAUCAUCAGCUUGUGUUUUCAAAGGUGUGCUUAGUGAUGGUGCAUCAGUAGCUGUUAAAAGGAUCGAUGGAGAGGAACGUGGCGAUAAGGAAUUCAAAUCAGAAGUUGCAGCUAUUGCUAGUGUUCAACAUGUUAAUCUUGUACGUUUACUUGGAUACUCUAGUGUUCCUCCAUCAGGACCUCGAUUUUUGGUUUACGAGUAUAUAGUUAAUGGAUCACUUGAUAAUUGGAUUUUUCGAAAAAGGGGAAUUCGAGGGUGUUUGUCGUUGGAUUUGAGGUGUAGAGUUGGUCUAGAUGUGGCUAAGGCACUUUCUUAUUUGCAUCAUGAUUGUAGAUCGUGUAUUUUACAUCUCGAUGUCAAGCCUGAGAAUAUACUUUUAGACGAGAAUCAUCGUGCUAUUCUAGCUGAUUUCGGGUUGUCUAAGUUGAUGGGGAAAGAUGAGAGUAGAGUUGUUACAACGAUUAGAGGUACUCGGGGGUAUUUAGCCCCCGAGUGGCUCCUGGAGAACGGGAUUUCUGAGAAAAGUGAUGUUUAUAGCUACGGAAUGGUGCUAUUGGAGAUGAUUGGAGGGAGGAGAAAUAUUACUUUAGCUGAAAAUGGAAAGAGUACCAAUUCAAAGAGUAAGUUCAGCUAUUUUCCUAAGAUUGUGAGUGAGAAAUUGGAGCAGGGGAAGAUCAUGGAAGUCCUGGACGAGAGGCUCGUCCACGAGGCAGCUACAGGAGGUGUAGCUGUAGAAAUGCAAGUGAAAAGAUUGGCGUGUGUGGCGUUGUCUUGCAUCCAAGAACGGCCUAGUCUUAGGCCAACAAUGGCACGAGUCGUGGAAAUGUUGGAAGGUCGUGGGCCAGUAGAAGCGCCUAGACAAACGACAAUGUUGAUCCUCGAUCUAUUAGACGAGGGUGUGGAUCAUCAUCCCGGGAUACCUAGGGUAGCUGCAGCCAUGGCAAGAUCUAGUGAUACUAAUUCACUUCGUUCUUAUACAAUGUCUAUCCUCUCAGGGAGGUAGUACCUACAUAAUACAUAAGGGAUUUUGUCUGCUUUCUGUCAAAUUUUUCAAUAUCAAUAGGUUGAUUGUUUCUCGAGUGUUGUAUCCUGAAUCCGAAAGAGUGUACUUGAAUUCUCCCCCUAACAAAAAAAAGUGUAAGAAUUUGCUUUUGUUUACACCAAAAUAUAUAGG